UACACUCCUACGGGAGGCAGCAGUGGGGAAUUUUGGACAAUGGGCGAAAGCCUGAUCCAGCAAUGCCGCGUGAGUGAAGAAGGCCUUCGGGUUGUAAAGCUCUUUUGUCAGGGAAGAAACGGUGAAAGCUAAUAUCUUUUGCUAAUGACGGUACCUGAAGAAUAAGCACCGGCUAACUACGUGCCAGCAGCCGCGGUAAUACGUAGGGUGCAAGCGUUAAUCGGAAUUACUGGGCGUAAAGCGUGCGCAGGCGGUUUUGUAAGUCUGAUGUGAAAUCCCCGGGCUCAACCUGGGAAUUGCAUUGGAGACUGCAAGGCUAGAAUCUGGCAGAGGGGGGUAGAAUUCCACGUGUAGCAGUGAAAUGCGUAGAUAUGUGGAGGAACACCGAUGGCGAAGGCAGCCCCCUGGGUCAAGAUUGACGCUCAUGCACGAAAGCGUGGGGAGCAAACAGGAUUAGAAACCCUAGUAGUCCCAUGA
rnacentral:rRNA from 1 species